ensembl:snoRNA
AAGCCAGCCAACUGGUCUGCUUAUCUGAAUGUGUUUCUGCAGAACUGUCGAGAGCUGGCAAUGGUGAUGGCAUGUUACGAGCCUUAAGAACAGCUGAGGUCGUUAAAGACCCUGAAAGUGGCUAUGAUA